rnacentral:rRNA from 1 species
AUGAACGCUAGCUACAGGCUUAACACGUGCAAGUCGAGGGGCAUCAGGAAGAAAGCUUGCUUUCUUUGCUGGCGACCGGCGCACGGGUGAGUAACACGUAUCCAACCUGCCCUUUACUCGGGGAUAGCCUUUCGAAAGAAAGAUUAAUACCCGAUAGCAUAAUGAUUCCGCAUGGUUUCAUUAUUAAAGGAUUCCGGUAAAGGAUGGGGAUGCGUUCCAUUAGGUUGUUGGUGAGGUAACGGCCCACCAAGCCUUCGAUGGAUAGGGGUUCUGAGAGGAAGGUCCCCCACAUUGGAACUGAGACACGGUCCAAACUCCUACGGGAGGCAGCAGUGAGGAAUAUUGGUCAAUGGGCGCUAGCCUGAACCAGCCAAGUAGCGUGAAGGAUGAAGGCUCUAUGGGUCGUAAACUUCUUUUAUAUAAGAAUAAAGUGCAGUAUGUAUACUGUUUUGUAUGUAUUAUAUGAAUAAGGAUCGGCUAACUCCGUGCCAGCAGCCGCGGUAAUACGGAGGAUCCGAGCGUUAUCCGGAUUUAUUGGGUUUAAAGGGAGCGUAGGUGGACUGGUAAGUCAGUUGUGAAAGUUUGCGGCUCAACCGUAAAAUUGCAGUUGAUACUGUCAGUCUUGAGUACAGUAGAGGUGGGCGGAAUUCGUGGUGUAGCGGUGAAAUGCUUAGAUAUCACGAAGAACUCCGAUUGCGAAGGCAGCUCACUGGACUGCAACUGACACUGAUGCUCGAAAGUGUGGGUAUCAAACAGGAUUAGAUACCCUGGUAGUCCACACAGUAAACGAUGAAUACUCGCUGUUUGCGAUAUACAGUAAGCGGCCAAGCGAAAGCAUUAAGUAUUCCACCUGGGGAGUACGCCGGCAACGGUGAAACUCAAAGGAAUUGACGGGGGCCCGCACAAGCGGAGGAACAUGUGGUUUAAUUCGAUGAUACGCGAGGAACCUUACCCGGGCUUAAAUUGCAGUGGAAUGAUGUGGAAACAUGUCAGUGAGCAAUCACCGCUGUGAAGGUGCUGCAUGGUUGUCGUCAGCUCGUGCCGUGAGGUGUCGGCUUAAGUGCCAUAACGAGCGCAACCCUUAUCUUUAGUUACUAACAGGUUAUGCUGAGGACUCUAGAGAGACUGCCGUCGUAAGAUGUGAGGAAGGUGGGGAUGACGUCAAAUCAGCACGGCCCUUACGUCCGGGGCUACACACGUGUUACAAUGGGGGGGUACAGAAGGCAGCUAGCGGGUGACCGUAUGCUAAUCCCAAAAUCCUCUCUCAGUUCGGAUCGAAGUCUGCAACCCGACUUCGUGAAGCUGGAUUCGCUAGUAAUCGCGCAUCAGCCACGGCGCGGUGAAUACGUUCCCGGGCCUUGUACACACCGCCCGUCAAGCCAUGGGAGCCGGGGGUACCUGAAGUACGUAACCGCAAGGAUCGUCCUAGGGUAAAACUGGUGACUGGGGCU